GCAGGCGCUGCCGGGAACGCCGGAGCGAGGAGCGUGUGGCCUUAAGUGGAAGAUUACCUGUAAUGGCAAGAAGUCAGCUGAAGGUGGCCACAGAGAGAAGGGAGUGGGCCUGGAUCUCCCCCAGCCUUCUCCGGCCUCUUCCCAGAGUGGGAAGGAAGGGAGGAAAGCUAGUAAGGCAUGAAGCUUUGGGAACCUUCUCCGCAGCUGGGCAAGACCAGAGAUUGUUCAGUCACCUGGAGGAAGAGAUGCUGGCAAUUUGGCAGUUCAAAUCUCACCAGGGUCAAGGUUGACUCAGUCUUCCAUCCUUCCGAGGUUGUGUGAAUCGAAUUCCCGAGGUCCAGGACAGCGUCUGAAGUCAAAUGCACCAUAAGUCCCUAAAUUUGAUCAAUAAAAUAAGCGA